rnacentral:rRNA from 1 species
UACGAAGGGGGCUAGCGUUGUUCGGAUUUACUGGGCGUAAAGCGCACGUAGGCGGAUCGUUAAGUCGGGGGUGAAAUCCUGGAGCUCAACUCCAGAACUGCCUUCGAUACUGGCGAUCUUGAGUCCGGAAGAGGUGAGUGGAACUCCUAGUGUAGAGGUGGAAUUCGUAGAUAUUGGGAAGAACACCGGUGGCGAAGGCGGGUCUCUGGGCAGUAACUGACGCUGAGGAGCGAAAGCGUGGGGAGCGAACAGG